rnacentral:tRNA from 1 species
ACUGUCAUAGCUUAAUAGGCAGAGCAACCACCUUCUAAGCGGUUCUCUAGGUUCAAAUCCUAGCGGUAAUGCCA